UUUAUUAGAGCAUAAGCUUUCGUGAGCUACAGCUCACUUCAUCGGAUGCAUAUAUUAUUUAAUGAGACACAACUUUCUAGUUUUUUACUCAAACUAAUUAAUUGAAUUUGCUGAGAACUAACAAAUCCUUCUGUACACAAAGCAUAAGAGCUAUAAACUUCUGGAGGAUAAUCCCAUGUUUUUAUAAUACAGAGUGAAUCUAUGCUUUAAGUGCAAAACAGAAUUCAGCCUUAACUAUGGAGCUGCAUUUGGCGCUUCCAUACUUUGGUUCUGUAACCAUAUUUUUCUUUGCUAUGAGACUUUCAUAUUUCUAGCAUUGUGCUAAUUUAGCAUGAACUCAGACAUUUUAACCUACUAAUUUAUUCAGAUGUAUGUUAAUGACUUCAAUACUGUUUUUGGGUAAAAAUGUUUUUCGGCCACUAUUCAAGUACCAAAACCAAAACUUACCAGUGUUUCAAGUUUAAUUGAAAACUGUCUCAAUUGUUUCAUGAAAUUUGAUGUUGAGACCAUAUCCUCUUUCUAAAAUCUUCCUGGUUUUUAGAUUUCCUUUAAAGGAAAAUCAAUUAGACUUGUGAAUUUAUGGAUUGAUUAUGUUUGCAGGCAAAAUACACUUCAGUCCGGAAAUCUGUUAAUCUGAAGCAACAACAGUUGCACAACUGGAGGAAGGGGCCACUGAGCCACCUUGCUUGCAUGUGAAGUCACGUUAGGGACAACUGUGACUGCUGUCUCCAAAGCAAAGCAGCAGCAUACCUCAUGAACCUUUGAGUAUUAACAACACUCCUGAUGCCAGAGUUGGCUUUCCUAAUCAGUUCCGUAAAUUACUUCUACCUCAUCUGUCAGCUCUUGUUUCUUCUCUGUGACCCUUCUACUGCCCAUAAGUAAAUUGCUCCUAUGGAGAAUGUCUUUCCAGGACCUUUGCACUUGUACCCUUCUAUUUCCACCCAGAUAAACUUUUUUUUUUUGAGCAUAUCAUUUUUUAUUCCCACGCACAAUGAAGUAUGUGCAUGUGUGUUUUGAUAGAUGUUGAUUCUUGAAUAAAUGGUAACCUUGCAGCAGGUUAGCUUCCAUUGCUGAAGAGAAACUGAUGUCACAGUCAGUCAGAGAGUAAAGUGAGUUCCUAUUUUUUUAACUUAGAUUUACUGUUACAGAAUAUACAUUUCUAACUUCUAAAUUGGCUUUAAUUUCAAAAUGAACGUAUUUCAGUGGUCACAUUCAUUGGAUGCAAUUCAGUGGGAAGUUGUGGGACACUUGAUGAAAUAUAUGGGGUUCUGAUGAACCUCAUCUCUACCAUUUGGACAAAGUGUUGUCUUUUUACUGACUUCUUUAAUAUUAGAGUUUUAAUGACUUGGCCAAAACUUUGUUCAAGUAAUUUUCAUAUUGGUAGCUAGCUAAAUUAGUGUAAACUCAAAUUGGCUAGAUUCUUAUGCAUGUCCUAAACGUGACCAUAUUGUCCCUGUCUUACUGGAACAGUCAUGGCGUCCCAUAUCAUCAUCAU